rnacentral:other from 1 species
AUUAUCCUGCCUUGUGCGAUAAGCAUAGCACGUUAUAACCCAACACUCUUUAAAAAGGGAGCUUGACUCCGGCGGCGGACUGCAGACCUCCCGGCUUUGCCGGACGAAGGGAGCGCGAAACCGCAGGGCGGGCACCCGCCUGACACUUUGUUGGCAGGUUAUAAGAGGCUAUGUCCGGCUUGGCGGGAUUUUU